rnacentral:rRNA from 1 species
AUUCCAGCUCCAAUAGCGUAUAUUAAAGUUGUUGCAGUUAAAAAGCUCGUAGUUGGAUUUCUGGGCUGGGUUGGUGGUCCGCCGCAAGGCGUGUACCAUCGAACCGGUUCAUCUUCUCGAAGACUCUGUGUGCUCUUAACUGAGUGUGCAGAGGACUCGGGACCUUUACUUUGAAAAAAUAAGAGUGUUCAAAGCAGGCCUUCGCUUGAAUACAUUAGCAUGGAAUAAUGGAAUAGGAUUUUGGUUCUAUUUUGUUGGUUUCUAGGACUGAAAUAAUGAUUAAUAGGGACAGUUGUGGACAUUUGUAUUUCAUAGUCAGAGGUGAAAUUCUUAGAUUUAUGGAAGACAAACUACUGCGAAAGCAUUUGUCAAGGAUGUUUUCAUCA